rnacentral:rRNA from 1 species
AUGCAGUCGAGCGGACAGAUGGGAGCUUGCUCCCUGAUGUUAGCGGCGGACGGGUGAGUAACACGUGGGUAACCUGCCUGUAAGACUGGGAUAACUCCGGGAAACCGGGGCUAAUACCGGAUGGUUGUUUGAACCGCAUGGUUCAAACAUAAAAGGUGGCUUCGGCUACCACUUACAGAUGGACCCGCGGCGCAUUAGCUAGUUGGUGAGGUAACGGCUCACCAAGGCAACGAUGCGUAGCCGACCUGAGAGGGUGAUCGGCCACACUGGGACUGAGACACGGCCCAGACUCCUACGGGAGGCAGCAGUAGGGAAUCUUCCGCAAUGGACGAAAGUCUGACGGAGCAACGCCGCGUGAGUGAUGAAGGUUUUCGGAUCGUAAAGCUCUGUUGUUAGGGAAGAACAAGUACCGUUCGAAUAGGGCGGUACCUUGACGGUACCUAACCAGAAAGCCACGGCUAACUACGUGCCAGCAGCCGCGGUAAUACGUAGGUGGCAAGCGUUGUCCGGAAUUAUUGGGCGUAAAGGGCUCGCAGGCGGUUUCUUAAGUCUGAUGUGAAAGCCCCCGGCUCAACCGGGGAGGGUCAUUGGAAACUGGGGAACUUGAGUGCAGAAGAGGAGAGUGGAAUUCCACGUGUAGCGGUGAAAUGCGUAGAGAUGUGGAGGAACACCAGUGGCGAAGGCGACUCUCUGGUCUGUAACUGACGCUGAGGAGCGAAAGCGUGGGGAGCGAACAGGAUUAGAUACCCUGGUAGUCCACGCCGUAAACGAUGAGUGCUAAGUGUUAGGGGGUUUCCGCCCCUUAGUGCUGC